AUUGAACGCUGGCGGCAGGCCUAACACAUGCAAGUCGAGCGGAUGAAGGGAGCUUGCUCCUGGAUUCAGCGGCGGACGGGUGAGUAAUGCCUAGGAAUCUGCCUGGUAGUGGGUGAUAACGUCCGGAAACGGGCGCUAAUACCGCAUACGUGCUGAGGGAGAAAGUGGGGGAUCUUCGGACCUCACGCUCUCAGAUGAGCCUAGGUCGGAUUAGCUAGUUGGUGGGGUAAAGGCCUACCAAGGCGACGAUCCGUAACUGGUCUGAGAGGAUGAUCAGUCACACUGGAACUGAGACACGGUCCAGACUCCUACGGGAGGCAGCAGUGGGGAAUAUUGGACAAUGGGCGAAAGCCUGAUCCAGCCAUGCCGCGUGUGUGAAGAAGGUCUUCGGAUUGUAAAGCACUUUAAGUUGGGAGGAAGGGCAGUAAGUUAAUACCUUGCUGUUUUGACGUUACCAACAGAAUAAGCACCGGCUAACUUCGUG
rnacentral:rRNA from 1 species